rnacentral:rRNA from 1 species
GAAACGCGUGGGAACGUACCCCAAAGUUCGGAAUAACUAUUGGAAACGAUAGCUAAUACCGGAUGUGACCGAGAGGUUAAAGGUUUACCGCUUUGGGAGCGGCCCGCGUUAGAUUAGCUAGUUGGUAGGGUAAAGGCCUACCAAGGCAAUGAUCUAUAGCUGGUCUGAGAGGAUGACCAGCCACACUGGGACUGAGACACGGCCCAGACUCCUACGGGAGGCAGCAGUGGGGAAUAUUGGACAAUGGGGGCAACCCUGAUCCAGCAAUGCCGCGUGAAUGAUGAAGGCCUUAGGGUUGUAAAGUUCUUUUAUUGAUGACGAUAAUGACGGUAAUCAAUGAAUAAGCACCGGCUAACUUCGCGCCAGCAGCCGCGGUAAUACGAAGGGUGCUAGCGUUGUUCGGAAUGACUGGGCGUAAAGGGUGCGUAGGCGGUAAGAUGCGUCUGAUGUGAAAUCCCUGGGCUUAACCUAGGAACUGCAUUGGAUACGGUCUUACUAGAGUCCGCGAGAGGAAGAUGGAAUUGUGCGUGUAGAGGUGAAAUUCGUAGAUAUGCACAAGAACACCGGUAGCGAAGGCGAUCUUCUGGAGCGGUACUGACGCUAAGGCA